ACUGGUAAGUUAAUUUCAGGUUAAAACCAGCUGCGGUAAGAUUGCUUCAGUGUUUGGGAAGUACUGAAAGUGAUGUCUGAUCCAUGGUCCCCAGAUGUCUGGUAGCUGGGGACACCCUUUUUGAGCGAGUUUCCAAGGAUCUUUUGGAUGUGCGUCAAUGCCAAUACACUGUGAAUCACAGCUUGAACCAAGUUAUUGGACCGACUGUUCUGUCCCCAUUUCGUUCUCCAAAGCCCUCCAAAUUCGUUGAUGAACAUCCGGAUCAAAAUGUCAGUCAAAUGGGGAUUCAUCAUGAAGAAAUAAAUCUUCUGAGCAAAAGGUGCAACUUUCAAGUACUGUGAACUUUGCUGUUCUCAAAUCCUGCAGCAGUUGAGCUUGCUCACUCACACAACAAGCAUUACCUUGAAAUGUUUGUUGACUCUCCUGCACACAAGUGGCAUGUGAACAAAGUUUCUCCACAUUAAGUUGAUCAAGCAACACCUCAUCAGCAAAGUUCACUGGGACAAUUUGGAGGCCCUUUACACUGAUGACAAUAAAAAGAGAGACUCCUGCAUCCAGAUGGUGACAAGGUGAUUGACGGUAGCAGAGAAAAGUAAACUUCUUUCCAGCCUAUAACUACAUAAAGCAACCCCGCUCUGACAAGAAUCAAGACAUCAGAAUCAGAAUCAGAAUCAGCUUUAUUGGCCAGUGAGUGUACCCUUCCUGACUGAGGCUAGCCAUCACUGAACACUACAGUGCCAGUGGGAUGAACGAUGGAAAGACAUGAUGACCGUCUAGAACAAAGUGACUUAAAAGUGGGACAAAAUAUUCAACAACUGAGGUGAAGUCCAGAUGCUGACUUUAAGAUAGUGGCAGUAGAGACAUUAAACAACUGUCAAGCAGCCAAGAGAUAUGGUGUCACUAAGGGAAAUAUCUGAGGUCAGCAAGUCCAGCAAGCCACUGUGGUCCUCGAAAUGACUGCUUCCAAGAGACCGUGGAGUGUGUGAGGUUGUUACUGAAAAAACACAUCAUAGGUAUGCCCAUCACCAGAGCUGUCAUCCUGCUGAAAGCCUUGGAAAUAACCAUGGAGGCAACAUAUGGCUGUUUUUUAAAUGAGAAAGAUGGCCUAAUAACUAAUAAACUAUAGGCUUGUUUGAUUUGUAUGGUAUUAAUGGUAAGUAGGGAUGGGAAUUUACCGUAAUCCUUGUAAUCGAUUACUCAAAUUUCCUAAUGAACGAUUACUCGGGUACUCGCAAUUAUACA